rnacentral:misc_RNA from 1 species
UCUCCGUAGGUGAACCUGCGGAGGGAUCACUACAGGCUUGCAAAGGCUCUGAAACCACUGUUUAUCUACCUGAAUCUGCUUCGGCGGGCGGCCCCAGGGCGGGGCCGUAGCCGCAAGGCGCCCGCCGAAGACCCCUAGACUCUGUCGUCUUGAGAAUCUCUGAGUAUCAUAUUAGACAGAAAACAACUUUCAACAACGGAUCUCUUGGCUCUG